rnacentral:rRNA from 1 species
AAUGCUACUCUCCGGGAACAAUAUCCAGCUCUAUACAAUAUUGUGCGUCACAAGGGUGAUACUAUUGCCAAGGUUUUGGAAUCAUUUCCGCCAAAUGCGACGUUUAGAAGGGAUUUAAUUGGACCUAGACUCCAAUCAUGGAACACACUGCUCCAGCGGUUAACCACGGUAUAGUUGUCACAAGGAUCCGAUGUCUUUCGUUGGAACCUAUAUGGGAAUGGAUAA